AGCACUGAUUUUCAGGGCCCAAGGCUCCUGAAUGUGAGCGCUGCACGCUGGCCUGCAGUGUGGGGUGGGGAGGGCGACCCCAGAGGACCACCUCGGCCCGGUGGCUGUCAGCCUGGCCCUGUCCUUCCCUGAGGGGCAGCCCCCAGCAGGUCUUCUGGAUGACAGCUAAGCCCUGGAAGAUUCUCCAAAGGCACCUGUUUCAGAAGCAAGGCUGCCAGACACUGCCCACACCCUUUCUAAAGGGCAUGGAACGUGGAGGAAAGGAGCAGGAGGGCAGAGGCCGGGCAGAGAGCGGCCCGUGACACAGACCCGUCCGGAGCUCUGGAGCGCCCCUCUCCCGCUGCAAUGACCAGAAUCAGCAAAUUAUGCUUGUUUUGUUCUCACAGUUUAAAAAUAAACCAUAGAAGACUCUAGUAUCUAUAGGAACAUUA